GUAGGUGGCAAGCGUUGUCCGGAAUUAUUGGGCGUAAAGCGCGCGCAGGUGCUUCUUUAAGUCUGAUGUGAAAGCCCCCGGCUCAACCGGGGAGGGUCAUUGGAAACUGGGGAACUUGAGUGCAGGAGAGGAAAGUGGAAUUCCACGUGUAGCGGUGAAAUGCGUAGAUAUGUGGAGGAACACCAGUGGCGAAGGCGACUUUCUGGCCUGUAACUGACACUGAGGCGCGAAAGCGUGGGGAGCAAACAGGGAUUAGAUACCCUGGUAGUCCACGCCGUAAACGAUGAGUGCUAAGCGUUGGGGGGGUUUCCGCCCCCUCAGUGCUGCAGCUAACGCAUUAAGCACUCCGCCCUGGGAGUACGGUCGCAAGACUG
rnacentral:rRNA from 1 species